rnacentral:rRNA from 1 species
GACGAACGCUGGCGGCGUGCUUAACACAUGCAAGUCGAACGAGGAAGCCUAGCUUGCUAGGUGGAUUAGUGGCGAACGGGUGAGUAAUACGUGAGUAACCUACCUUUAACUCUGGGAUAAGCCUGGGAAACUGGGUCUAAUACCGGAUACGACCAAUCUCCGCAUGGGGUGUUGGUGGAAAGCGUUAUGUAGUGGUUAUAGAUGGGCUCACGGCCUAUCAGCUUGUUGGUGAGGUAACGGCUCACCAAGGCGACGACGGGUAGCCGGCCUGAGAGGGUGACCGGCCACACUGGGACUGAGACACGGCCCAGACUCCUACGGGAGGCAGCAGUGGGGAAUAUUGCACAAUGGGCGCAAGCCUGAUGCAGCGAAGCCGCGUGAGGGAUGACGGCCUUCGGGUUGUAAACCUCUGUUAGCAGGGAAGAAGAGAAAUUGACGGUACCUGCAGAGAAAGCGCCGGCUAACUACGUG